AGGACGGGAAGGUGUCAACGUUUUGCAUUUCGAAUAAACAUUGCACUUGUCCCGGCCUAU
rnacentral:pre_miRNA from 2 species